GGCAACUUGUCCGAGUGGUUAAGGAGAAAGACUUGAAUUGACCAUUGUGUUGAAAUUCAAAGUUAUCUUUUGGGCUCUGCCCGCGUAGGUUCGAGUCCUGCAGUUGUCG
rfam:Lodderomyces elongisporus NRRL YB-4239 supercont1.6 genomic scaffold, whole genome shotgun sequence.